rfam:Minicystis rosea strain DSM 24000, complete genome.
GCCCUCAUGGCUCAAUGGCAGAGUCCCUGUCUCGUAAUCAGGGGAUUCCGGUUCGAUUCCGGAUGAGGGCU